rnacentral:rRNA from 1 species
AGAGUUUGAUCCUGGCUCAGGAUUAACGCUAGCGGCAGGCAUAAUACAUGCGAGUUGAACGGGAUCAGUUGUAGUAAUACAAUUGUGAGAGUAGCGCACGGGUGCGUAACACGUAUGCAAUCUGCCCCUAUCUGUGGAAUAGCCCCUCGAAAGAGGGAUUAAUACCACAUAACAUAGUGAAUAGGCAUCUAUUUACUAUCAAAGCUCCGGCGGAUAGGGAUGAGCAUGCGGCUGAUUAGCUAGUUGGUGAGGUAAUGGCUCACCAAGGCUACGAUCAGUAGGGGGUCUGAGAGGAUGUCCCCCCACACUGGUACUGAGACACGGACCAGACUCCUACGGGAGGCAGCAGUAGGGAAUAUUGGUCAAUGGGGGCAACCCUGAACCAGCCAUGCCGCGUGCAGGAUUAAGGCCCUAUGGGUCGUAAACUGCUUUUGUACGGGAAGAAACCACACUACGUGUAGUGUGUUGACGGUACCGUGAGAAUAAGGAUCGGCUAACUUCGUGCCAGCAGCCGCGGUAAUACGAAGGAUCCAAGCGUUGUCCGGAUUUACUGGGUUUAAAGGGUGCGUAGGCGGAUUAUUAAGUCAGUGGUGAAAGCUUGCAGCUUAACUGUAAAAUUGCCAUUGAAACUGAUAAUCUCGAGUAUGGUUGAGGUGGUUGGAAUGUAUCAUGUAGCGGUGAAAUGCUUAGAUAUGAUACAGAACACCGAUUGCGAAGGCAGAUCACUAAACCAUUAUUGACGCUGAGGCACGAAAGCGUGGGGAUCAAACAGGAUUAGAUACCCUGGUAGUCCACGCCCUAAACGUUGCAUACUCGGACUUAGCGAUAAACAGUUAGGUCCCAAGCGAAAGCGUUAAGUAUGCCACCUGGGAAGUACGUCCGCAAGGAUGAAACUCAAAGGAAUUGACGGGGGCCCGCACAAGCGGAGGAGCAUGUGGUUUAAUUCGAUGAUACGCGAGGAACCUUACCUGGGCUUGAAUGUGAGUGACCGCUGCCGAAAGGUGGCUUCCCUUCGGGGCACAAAACAAGGUGCUGCAUGGCUGUCGUCAGCUCGUGCCGUGAGGUGUUGGGUUAAGUCCCGCAACGAGCGCAACCCCUAUCUUUAGUUGCCAUCAGGUUAUGCUGGGGACUCUAAAGAGACUGCCUACGUAAGUAGUGAGGAAGGUGGGGACGACGUCAAGUCAUCAUGGCCCUUACGUCCAGGGCUACACGCGUGCUACAAUGCGCGCUACAAAGGGUUGCAACAUGGCAACAUGAAGCUAAUCCCUAAAAAGCGCGCUCAGUUCGGAUUGAGGUCUGCAACUCGACCUCAUGAAGUUGGAUUCGCUAGUAAUCGGAUAUCAGCAACGAUCCGGUGAAUACGUUCCCGGGCCUUGUACACACCGCCCGUCAAGCCAUGGAAGUUGGGGGUGCCUGAAGUCCAUCACCGCAAGGAGUGGCCUAAGGCAAAACCAGUAACUGGGGCUAAGUCGUAACAAGGUA